UACAGAGGUCCCAAGCGUUGUUCGGAUUUACUGGGCGUAAAGGGUGCGUAGGCGGCAGGGAAAGUUCGGGGUGAAAUCUCCAGGCUCAACUUGGAAACUGCCCUGAAUACUUCCUUGCUCGAGGGCCGAAGAGGAGAUUGGAAUUCUCGGUGUAGCAGUGAAAUGCGUAGAUAUCGAGAGGAACAUCAGUGGCGAAAGCGAAUCUCUGGUCGGCAUCUGACGCUGAGGCACGAAAGCCAGGGGAGCAAACGGG
rnacentral:rRNA from 1 species